rnacentral:rRNA from 1 species
AGAAUCAACGCUGGCGGCGUGCCUAACACAUGCAAGUCGCACGAGAAAGUGGAGCAAUCCACGAGUAAAGUGGCGCACGGGUGAGUAACACGUGAAUGAUCUACCUCCGAGUGGGGAAUAACUGAGAGAAAUCUUAGCUAAUACCGCAUAAUACCCACGGGUCAAAGCAGCAAUGCGCUUGGAGAGGAGUUCGCGGCCGAUUAGCUAGUUGGCGGGGUAAUGGCCCACCAAGGCGAUGAUCGGUAUCCGGCCUGAGAGGGCGCACGGACACACUGGAACUGAAACACGGUCCAGACUCCUACGGGAGGCAGCAGUGGGGAAUUUUGCGCAAUGGGGGAAACCCUGACGCAGCAACGCCGCGUGGAGGAUGAAAUCCCUUGGGAUGUAAACUCCUUUCGAUAGGGAAGAUAAUGACGGUACCUAUAGAAGAAGCCCCGGACUAACUUCGUGCCAGCAGCCGC